rnacentral:sRNA from 1 species
GCUGGGCAUGGUGGCACGUUCCUGUAAUCCCUGUGACUCUGGAGGCUGAGGCAGGAGGAUUGCUAGUUUGAGGUCUCAGUAACUUAGCGAGACCCUCAGCAACUUAGUGAGAACCUGUCUCAA